rnacentral:rRNA from 1 species
AACGAACGCUGGCGGCAUGCCUAACACAUGCAAGUCGAACGAGAUCUUCGGGUCUAGUGGCGCACGGGUGCGUAACGCGUGGGAAUCUGCCCUGUGGUUCGGAAUAACAGUUGGAAACGACUGCUAAUACCGGAUGAUGACGAAAGUCCAAAGAUUUAUCGCCAGAGGAUGAGCCCGCGUAGGAUUAGCUAGUUGGUGUGGUAAAGGCGCACCAAGGCGACGAUCCUUAGCUGGUCUGAGAGGAUGAUAAGCCACACUGGGACUGAGACACGGCCCAGACUCCUACGGGAGGCAUCAGUGGGGAAUAUUGGACAAUGGGCGAAAACCUGAUCCAGCAAUGCCGCGUGCGUGAUUAAGACCUUAGGUUUGUAAAGCUCUUUUACCCGGGAUGAUAAUGACAGUACCGGGAUAAUAAGCCCCGGCUAACUCCGUGCCAGCCGCCGCAGUAA